UACGGGGGGGGCAAGCGUUGUUCGGAAUUACUGGGCGUAAAGGGUGCGUAGGUGGUUAGAUAAGUUAGGUGUGAAAGCCCCGGGCUUAACCUGGGAAUGGCGCCUAAUACUGUUUAGCUUGAGUACUGUAGAGGAAGGUGGAAUUUCCGGUGUAGCGGUGAAAUGCGUAGAUAUCGGAAGGAACAUCAGUGGCGAAGGCGACUUUCUGGACAGAUACUGACACUGAGGCACGAAAGCAUGGGGAGCAAACAGG
rnacentral:rRNA from 1 species